GUGCUCACUUCGGCAGCACAUAUACUAAAAUUGGAAUGAUACAGAGAAGAUUAGCAUGGCCCCUGUGCAAGGAUGACAUGUCUGAACCACCUACCGUACUAAACUGUG